AAAGAAACAAAAGUGUGGCCAGUUUUCGCCGUCACCUUCUUCCAGAGUUUAGGGUUCAUUGACUCCUCAUAAAUCUGAUUACGGUUCUAACAAUGGAGGUACUGAGAGGUCGUGUUAGAGGAGACUUCGUGAGUAAUCUAUGCGUCGAUGUCUGAUCGUGUCGUUUGGGUAUCGAUUCUUCACCACCGAACCGUUACAAGUUGCAUUGAUUCAACGUCAUUAACCAUUUCUGACCCACUACAGCCAGGAUCUAUCAUUAAAUGAAUCUUAUCCUUCUUCCAUGCGGUGAUUCUCCACCUAUAUAAAGGUUUUGGGAAGCAAGAAACGUGGUGAGGAGUACAUGCUCCGCCUAGACUCUAAUGUUGUCCAUUCUUUAAACUCGCGAUUAUACGACGGCAAGCUGGGAAGCUGUGUGUUCUUUUGUAGACGCCGUCAAUGAACAAAGUGAUGUAGGUUGCUCUUGGUCGUUCCUCUUCGGAUGAAAUCCAUCAUGCCAACUUCAAAUCUUCCAAGGUUGUGUUACUCUGCUUCUUACAAUUUUUUUUUUGUUUAAAGCUUCUUACAAUAUUUGUUUUAUAUUACUUGGUCUUUUACAUAUUUUUUGGAAUAUUAUUUCAUCUGCGUCAUGGUGAUGAUGGACUGCUUAUUACUGAUAUGCCAAAGGAAGAGGUUGAAAGCUUUCAAGUACUGUAGACAAUGCUCAUCAAGUCUACUGAGAAUUCAUUCAUAUGAUCUAAAAUAAGAAUUGCCAUUUCUUGGAGGUCAUGGACAUGGGCUUCGAAGUCAGGUUUCUUGAGGAAAGACCUGAGACAGUGAGGAGCAGCACAGAUGAAGAUACCUUCCAUCAUCUUGAUUGUCUGAAUCUUUUGAAUCCGUUCAUCGCAUCUGUCCAAUAACACACAUACACGUGGGUUACCAAACA